UGUCAACUAAAAAAAAUAAUCAAUAUAGUUGAUUAUUACUGAUUCGUCCUUAAAUAUAUGAUUCUUUUGAGAAAUUUAAAUAUCUUAACUAAAAUUAAUAUUUAUUAUAUUCUUUUUUAAUUAGAUUAUAUUAUCAUUUAAAAACUAUAAUCAAAACACAAAUAUAUAAUUCCUCCGGUCAUAUAGGCAUUUCAAAUUUUACUACAUGUGUACUGAACAAAUUCCAGUGUGUUAAAAAAAAAAUUAAAAUUUUAGUCACUAUUAUAAGCAAAAGUUAAGUAAAUGCGAUUUAUAUUGAACAUAUUGAUUUAUGCAUGUUAAAUUUAUAUUAUUUUUUUAUUUUUUAUUUUUAAAUUUAAAAUAUAUUAAAAUGUUUUUUUUUU
rnacentral:lncRNA from 1 species